rnacentral:rRNA from 1 species
CCUACGGGGGGCAGCAGUGGGGAAUAUUGCACAAUGGGCGCAAGCCUGAUGCAGCCAUGCCGCGUGUGUGAAGAAGGCCUUCGGGUUGUAAAGCACUUUCAGCGGGGAGGAAGGCGGUGAGGUUAAUAACCUCAUCGAUUGACGUUACCCGCAGAAGAAGCACCGGCUAACUCCGUGCCAGCAGCCGCGGUAAUACGGAGGGUGCGAGCGUUAAUCGGAAUUACUGGGCGUAAAGCGCACGCAGGCGGUCUGUCAAGUCGGAUGUGAAAUCCCCGGGCUCAACCUGGGAACUGCAUUCGAAACUGGCAGGCUAGAGUCGUGUAGAGGGGGGUAGAAUUCCAGGUGUAGCGGUGAAAUGCGUAGAGAUCUGGAGGAAUACCGGUGGCGAAGGCGGCCCCCUGGACAAAGACUGACGCUCAGGUGCGAAAGCGUGGGGAGCAAACAGGAUUAGAUACCCUAGUAGUC